GUAGGAAGCAAGCGUUAUCCGGAUUUAUUGGGCGUAAAGUGAGCGUAGGUGGUCUUUCAAGUUGGAUGUGAAAUUUCCCGGCUUAACCGGGACGAGUCAUUCAAUACUGUUGGACUAGAGUACAGCAGGAGAAAACGGAAUUCCCGGUGUAGUGGUAAAAUGCGUAGAUAUCGGGAGGAACACCAGAGGCGAAGGCGGUUUUCUAGGUUGUCACUGACACUGAGGCUCGAAAGCGUGGGGAGCGAACAGAAUUAGAUACUCUGGUAGUCCACGCCUUAAACUAUGGACACUAGGUAUAGGGAGUAUCGACCCUCUCUGUGCCGAAGCUAACGCUUUAAGUGUCCCGCCUGGGGAGUACGGUCGCAAGGCUA
rnacentral:rRNA from 1 species